AGAGAGGUGAGUGCUCAGGCAUAAAUCUUUUCAAGACUUCUUUGUAGAGGAAUGAUUGUUUUUACAUUAGAAUAAUAACAGUUCCAGAAGAUACAGGCUAAAGACAGGAGAUGACACAAGCUGAUUUAUAUGGAGGAAUGCCAUAAUAUCAUCUUUUGGAAAAAGGGAAAGAGUGGUCUUUUGGAAUCUGACCACA